UGGGGAAUAUUGGACAAUGGGGGGAACCCUGAUCCAGCCAUGCCGCGUGUGUGAAGAAGGCCUUAUGGUUGUAAAGCACUUUAAGCGAGGAGGAGGGUACUGGUAUUAAUACUACCAGGUACUGGACGUUACUCGCAGAAUAAGCACCGGCUAACUCUGUGCCAGCAGCCGCGGUAAUACAGAGGGUGCGAGCGUUAAUCGGAUUUACUGGGCGUAAAGCGUGCGUAGGCGGCUAAUUGAGUCGGAUGUGAAAUCCCCGAGCUUAACUUGGGAAUUGCAUUCGAUACUGGUUAGCUAGAGUGUGGGAGAGGAUGGUAGAAUUCCAGGUGUAGCGGUGAAAUGCGUAGAGAUCUGGAGGAAUACCGAUGGCGAAGGCAGCAAUAUGGCCUAACACAGACGCUGAGGUACGAAAGCAUGGGGAGCAAACAGG
rnacentral:rRNA from 1 species